rnacentral:rRNA from 1 species
CCUACGGGGGGCUGCAGUGAGGAAUAUUGGUCAAUGGGCGCAAGCCUGAACCAGCCAUCCCGCGUGCAGGAUGACAGCCCUAGAGGUUGUAAACUGCUUUUCUUCAGGAAGAAUAAGGACUACGUGUAGUUCGAUGACUGUACUGGAGGAAUAAGCAUCGGCUAACUCCGUGCCAGCAGCCGCGGUAAUACGGAGGAUGCAAGCGUUAUCCGGAUUUAUUAGGUUUAAAGGGUGCGUAGGCGGAGACUUAAGUCAGUGGUAAAAGGCAAUAGCUUAACUAAUGUAAGCCAUUGAUACUGGGUUUCUUGAGUUCGGUAGAGGUAGGCGGAAUGUGUUGUGUAGCGGUGAAAUGCAUAGAUAUAACACAGAACACCGAUUGCGAAGGCAGCUUACUAGGCCGUUACUGACGCUGAUGCACGAAAGCGUGGGGAUCAAACAGGAUUAGAUACCCCUGUAGUC